UGAAUCUCGCUCUGAGCGGUUCGAGCAGGAACGGCUACACAUGCUUCAAAUUUAAAAUUCUAUUUUCAUUUAUUUAAAGUUUUAAUUCAUUCAUUUGUUGAGACACCUUUCAAUGCCGAUUACCAAAUUCCAAAAAAUAAAAUUCCAAUAACCACAAUAUACAUCAUCUCUCGUGUGUUUUUUGCUUAGAUAUUACAACCGUUGGGCAGAUAAAAUGUCCUGGAAAAUUGUGCCUUGAAAAGAGUGGGAACCCUGUAAAACUAUGACAAAAAUGAACACCGCACAAACACACAAAACAAGAAUAAUAUGUGUGUAUGUUCAGGGUGAAGCAGCAGCGUCUCGAGGAGCAGCAGUGUGAUGUUGAGUUUGAACUCAGACGUCUUCUCAAUAAACCAGAGCGUGAGUGGAGCUCAGACGACAGACGACGAGAACAACAGCUCAUGUCAAACCUGCUGUCAAUCAUCCAACAGAGAAAUGACAUCAUCAGCAGCCUUGAGCAGGACAGACAGAGGGAAGAAGAGGAGGACACGAUACUGACA